rnacentral:lncRNA from 1 species
GCAUAAGGAAGCCAAGUUGGACCGUUCUGAUGUGACUGAGAGAGAAGGUUGCAGAGAACACAUCUUAGAAGAUGAAAAACCUGAAUCUAUCAGUGACACUACUGACUUGGCUCUACCACCUGAAAUGCCGAUUUUGAUUGAUUUCCAUGCUCUGAAAGACAUCCUUGGGCCCCCGAUGUAUGAAAUGGAGGUGAUUCAUUCUUUUUAUUUCUUUUUGCUCCAGUCAAUGAAAGGAACACUUUAUUGAGGCCCCAGGGCCGUAGGGCCUGGGCAGGAGGCUGCCCUUUGGGGAAGGAAUAGCCUUAUUCGACCUUCUUUUUGGGACGCAGGUUGUUGGUGUGGCCGCACUUCUUGCAGCAGUUGACUGCAUGGGGGCGCAGGCGAGCACAGCUCUUGUGGCACAUCAUCUUCUUGCAGUUGUAUUUCUGGGCAAGGUGGCAGAGGGAAGGCUCCGUAAUGCCACCUCACAGGCACAGCAUCAGGCGCAGGGUGGACUCUUUCUGGAUGUUGUAGUCUAAGAGUGUGUGGCCAUCCUUCAGCUGUUUGCCCUCAAAUAUCAGACACUGCUGGUCAGGUAAGAUGCCCUACCUGUCUUGAAUUUUGGCUUUGACAUUCUCAGUGGCAUCACUGGGCUCGACCUCAAGGGUGAUGGUCUGGCCUGUGAGGGUCUUCACAAAGAUCCACAUCUCAGCGUCUGCAGCUUGGCCAGUCUCACUCCAUUCUCAUUUUUUUGUUGGUACUCACUGGUGUACUCAGGUGGUUGCUUAACAGAGAAGUAAAAUUGGAUGUUUCCAGAGGCUGAAUUUUGCCUUAAGAUGGAAACUUUAUU